rnacentral:pre_miRNA from 1 species
AUUAUACUCCCUCCGUUCCUAAUUACUCGUCGCAGAAAUGGAUGUAUCUAGAACUAAAAUACAUCUAGAUACAUCCAUACCUGCGACAAGUAAUUCGGAACGGAGGGAGUACAAA